GAGCGGGACUCUUCGGAGUCACAGCGGCGGACGGGUGAGUAACACGUGGGCAACCUGCCUAUAAGACUGGGAUAACACCGGGAAACCGGUGCUAAUACCGGAUAAUCCUUUUCCUCUCAUGAGGGAAAGCUGAAAGACGGCGUAAGCUGUCACUUACAGAUGGGCCCGCGGCGCAUUAGCUAGUUGGUGAGGUAACGGCUCACCAAGGCGACGAUGCGUAGCCGACCUGAGGGGGUGAUCGGCCACACUGGGACUGAGACACGGCCCAGACUCCUACGGGAGGCAGCAGUAGGGAAUCUUCCGCAAUGGACGAAAGUCUGACGGAGCAACGCCGCGUGAGCGAUGAAGGCCUUCGGGUCGUAAAGCUCUGUUGUUAGGGAAGAACAAGUAUCGGAGUAACUGCCGGUACCUUGACGGUACCUAACCAGAAAGCCACGGCUAACUACGUGCCAGCAGCCGCGGUAAU
rnacentral:rRNA from 1 species